AUACUUACCUAGUGGUAAGUAUGAUCAUGAAGGUGACUUUCCCAGGGUGAGGCUUAUCCAUUGCACGUUGGGUGUGCUGACAUCUGCAGGAAACCGGACUGCAUAAUUUGUGGUAAUGAGGGUACGGCACUUGCAUUCUCUUU
ensembl:snRNA U1 U1 spliceosomal RNA